GGAGACAGGGUAUCCAAGGGACUAACUCCACACUACCAAAUGAUGUUCUCUCAUGGUCAAAGUGAAGGGCAGUGUUGGGAGCUCUAAGAAGAGAACAAAGAUGGGGAUGUUCAAGACUACUGAUGUUGUUAAGACUUUAGAAACUUUCAGGGAGAGUUGACAAGAUGUAAUCUUCACACUGAUGACAAAGAGAUGCCUUCUUUCUCCCAGGAGUUCUUACAGAGGAACCAGACAGGCACUGGCCUGAAAAUUCUGCACCUUCAGCAAACACCCUUCUGAUCUCUUGGGAAGCUAAUAUUGCUAAAGAGUCAGAAGAAAGUAUAAGGAUGGCUCAUGGAUAGGAAUAAAAUGAUU